rnacentral:rRNA from 1 species
UGAGUACGAGACGCUACGGCGUCGAAGCAGUCUAUGUCAUACUUCCAAGAAAAGCUUGCACUGUCAUAAACAAAUAAUGCCUGUACCAUAACCGACACAGGUGGGUAGGUAGAGUAUACUAAGGGGCGCGAGAUAACUCUCUCUAAGGAACUCGGCAAAAUGACUCCGUAACUUCGGGAGAAGGAGUGCCUUAUUCUUAAGGUUGCAAUAACAAGAUCCAAGCAACUGUUUAUCAAAAACACAGGUCUCCGCUAAGUCGUAAGACGAUGUAUGGGGGCUGACGCCUGCCCAGUGCCAGGAGGUUAAAGAAGUUGGUUAGCAUUCGCGAAGCUGAUAACUGAAGCCCUGGUGAACGGCGGCCGUAACAAUAACGGUCCUAAGGUAGCGAAAUUCCUUGUCGGGUAAGUUCCGACCCGCACGAAAGGCGUAAUGAUUUGGAUACUGUCUCGGAGAGGGGCUCGGUGAAAUAGACUUGUCUGUGAAGAUGCGGACUACCUGCACCUGGACAGAAAGACCCUAUGAAGCUUUACUGUAACUUGAAAUUGAAAUUGGACUUUAUUUGCGCAGUAUAGGUGGGAGGCGUUGAGAAUAUUCUUGCGGGAAUAUUGGAGCCAUCAGUGAGAUACCACUCUUGUAAUGUUAGAUUUCUAACUUUGAAUCAUUAUCUGGUCAAAGGACAGUUUCAGGCGGGCAGUUUGACUGGGGCGGUCGCCUCCUAAAUGGUAACGGAGGCGCACAAAGGUUUCCUCUGAACGGGUAGAAAUCGUAUCUAGAGUGUAAAGGCAUAAGGAAGCUUGACUGUGAGACCUACAAGUCGAGCAGGGACGAAAGUCGGUCUUAGUGAUCUGACGGUGCUGAGUGGAAAGGCCGUCACUCAACGGAUAAAAGUUACUCUAAGGAUAACAGGCUGAUCUCCCCCAAGAGUUCACAUCGACGGGGAGGUUUGGCACCUCGAUGUCGGCUCAUCGCAUCCUGGGGCGGUAGUACGUCCCAAGGGUUGGGCUGUUCGCCCAUGAAAGCGGUACGCGAGCUGGGUUCAGAACGUCGUGAGACAGUUCGGUCCAUAUCCGGUGUAGGCGUUAGAAUAUUGAGAGGAGCCUUCUUUAGUACGAGAGGACCGAGAAGGACAUACCUCUGGUGUACCAGUUAUCGUGCCAACGGUAAACGCUGGGUAGCUAUGUAUGGAGAGGAUAACCGCUGAAAGCAUCUAAGUGGGAAGCCCACCUCAAGAUAAGUA